GUUUGAAAUAUUAGUGUUUAAGGUACUAUUUGUUAUGAGACUCUUCUAGAAGCAAAUUGUUUUCAUCAAUGCACCAGUGUCUAUUAUACAAAGACAUUUGGCCUUAUAGUAGAUCCACUUACCAUUCCCCUUAUCUUCUUGAUUACCUUGCAACAAAGCUAGCCUAUCUAUUAGUUGGAUAUGAAUAACACAUUCAACAAAGGUCAACUUUUUAUAGUGGUU
rnacentral:lncRNA from 1 species